rfam:Clostridium sp. CAG:470 genomic scaffold, scf89
UAGAACUAAAAUUAUGAGUAGUCGAAUGAUAGAGUAACGUCUUGAAAGGCUACCCUUAAGACUUCGAAAUGCAUUGAUAUAUGUAAGUAUUGAUGUGUAUUAAGCUCGAUAAAGUCGGCAGAAAUUUACCCAAACAAAGAUUAAAUCUGUUGUGGAAAAUGUCCUAGAGGUAGGAUAUGUAAAUGAUAUGCCGGAGGUCUAUAAA